rnacentral:tRNA from 1 species
UAAGCUUUAAGUUAUUUAAACUAAGAGCCUUCCAAGCUCCCCAAAAGAAACCUCUUAAGCUUAA